CCUACGGGUGGCAGCAGUGAGGAAUAUUGGUCAAUGGACGAGCGUCUGAACCAGCCAAGUAGCGUGAAGGAUGACUGCCCUAUGGGUUGUAAACUUCUUUUAUAUGGGAAUAAAAUGUUCCACGUGUGGGAUUUUGUAUGUACCAUAUGAAUAAGGAUCGGCUAACUCCGUGCCAGCAGCCGCGGUAAUACGGAGGAUCCGAGCGUUAUCCGAAUUUAUUGGGUUUAAAGGGAGCGUAGGUGGAUUGUUAAGUCAGUUGUGAAAGUUUGCGGCUCAACCGUAAAAUUGCAGUUGAAACUGGCAGUCUUGAGUACAGUAGAGGUGGGCGGAAUUCGUGGUGUAGCGGUGAAAUGCUUAGAUAUCACGAAGAACUCCGAUUGCGAAGGCAGUUCACUGGACUGCAACUGACACUGAGGCUCGAAAGUGUGGGUAUCAAACAGGAUUAGAUACCCCAGUAGUC
rnacentral:rRNA from 1 species